GUCGAGCGGUAGAGAGAAGCUUGCUUCUCUUGAGAGCGGCGGACGGGUGAGUAAUGCCUAGGAAUCUGCCUGGUAGUGGGGGAUAACGUUCGGAAACGGACGCUAAUACCGCAUACGUCCUACGGGAGAAAGCAGGGGACCUUCGGGCCUUGCGCUAUCAGAUGAGCCUAGGUCGGAUUAGCUAGUUGGUGAGGUAAUGGCUCACCAAGGCGACGAUCCGUAACUGGUCUGAGAGGAUGAUCAGUCACACUGGAACUGAGACACGGUCCAGACUCCUACGGGAGGCAGCAGUGGGGAAUAUUGGACAAUGGGCGAAAGCCUGAUCCAGCCAUGCCGCGUGUGUGAAGAAGGUCUUCGGAUUGUAAAGCACUUUAAGUUGGGAGGAAGGGCAUUAACCUAAUACGUUAGUGUUUUGACGUUACCGACAGAAUAAGCACCGGCUAACUCUGUGCCAGCAGCCGCGGUAAUACAGAGGGUGCAAGCGUUAAUCGGAAUUACUGGGCGUAAAGCGCGCGUAGGUGGUUUGUUAAGUUGGAUGUGAAAUCCCCGGGCUCAACCUGGGAACUGCAUUCAAAACUGACUGACUAGAGUAUGGUAGAGGGUGGUGGAAUUUCCUGUGUAGCGGUGAAAUGCGUAGAUAUAGGAAGGAACACCAGUGGCGAAGGCGACCACCUGGACUAAUACUGACACUGAGGUGCGAAAACGUGGGGAGC
rnacentral:rRNA from 1 species